AUUAGGGGAGCCCACGGCUACAAAAACAAGUGAGUGAGAAGAGGUGGGAGGAAGAGAAACUACGCCACCUCUCCUGCAGCUGAGCCGCGCGCAGCAGCAGCCCGGGGGAAGUGGGCGACGCCGGGGGGAAGGGAGACCGGGUCCCCAGCCCCAGCCGGGGGACCCCGCCGCCCACUGCCGAGAGAACAACUUUUAGCCGGCAGCCUCAGCCAGCACUGCACCUGUCUCCGAAGCCUCCAUCGUUUCUCGUGAUGGUCAAGGGGAAAUUCUAGAAGAAUAUGCUCUACAAAAUAUACAUGCGCAUCAUUUUCCCCCUUGCGUCUCACGCUGGAGGAAGGAAAGAGAAAGGGAUUUAAGCAGCAGCGUGUCUUCAGCCCCAAGCACCACCAAGCUGCCCUGGAAUGGAACUUCUGCUCAGUUCUUGGAUUGAGGGAUGGAGGAGGAGUUUACUUCAUUCAUUCUCAGGGACUCUUAACUGGUGAGAAGAAUUUAGGAUAUUUUACCAUCUGGAGUUUCUCUGCCUCACUGGUGAUUUAAACUCAAACCUGCCAGUUUAUGCAAGAUGAUAGAAAGUACCCUGUAACAUCUGAGUUGCAAAAAUAUCUGCCUCUGAGAGCUCAGGAGGAUCUGCUUUGUGGGAGCAAAGGUAGUGAGUCAUACCUGGAAGCUUGCGCCUCUUCAUCCAGUCAGGUCUCCUAGGCAACAGUUUAUGCAGCACUUAAAAGAUGAGGAGUUAAGAGGAGAAAAUGGAAAAAAAAAACAACAGAAGUACUUUUAAUGGAACAGAAUAAACCACUGAACAGGUACCAGAAAUUAUUAGGAGUUGGAAAUACUCACAGGAAGUGAGUGUCCACACGCCGGUUAUUCACCAGCUGAGCGCUGACAGGUGGAGGUACUGCUGCUGCCCUCCCAGAUUUAUUUGAGCAUUUCCACCAGAGCAGGGGAGUACUCGGGGUAUACAGACCAAAGGGGUUUUGUGUACUGAGGGAGUUGUGAGAGGAAAUUGGUCAUCGCUCGUCAUCGUGGUGGACAGUGACUCAGGGAGCUGUGAUGAGGGGUCAGCAAGGCACGUGGCCGCCGUCUCUGAGGUCUCUGCUCCCUACUCAGGGGGCGGGCUGUCUUCUAAAAAUGAAUGCUCCCUCCACCGCCAGCAACGAUUCUUGUGCAGUGAAUCACUUCCAGAAAUGAAUAGCCACAGUUUUUUGGAAUGAAUGUUGUGAAAUCCCUCGUUUAUAAUGGCAGGUUUUCCGUUGGUGGUUUUUAUCAGAGAGAAUUUCUCAAGAUCAAAACGAAACCUCCUCUUUACAAAGAAAGAAAGUACUCUCGAUACAGAAAGCAAAAGUAUUUCCACUCUCCUCCUGACGAGCUGUCACAGAAGAUCUCUGUACCUGUGUUUAGAGAUCCACGUCCAUGUACUUGCCUGAACGCACGAGUCCUUGAAAUCACGAGUUCAUUGCCGUAACUGGUGGUCUCCUAUGCAGCAGGUUGCUAACUCCGAGCAGUGUUAUGUGCGGUGAGUAGGUGGUAGACUCCGAAGAUCAUUGCUAAUCCAGUGUUCGUCCUCUUGAGUCAUGGAUUCAGAGGACUGCCAGCAAGCUCUUAAAUACUUGCUGUGCCUUAUAUGAUUUAAUGCAUGGAGCUGCAAGACUCCCAGAAGCCUGUGAAAGGUUUUGCAGAGCGUGGAUUAAUUGAAUAAUCUUUUGAAUAUACUAGUCCUUGGGAGGAAGAAAGGAUGUCUUACAGAAGGAAGCAGUUUGUGGGUCUCUUAGAGCUACAGUUACUGCUCUCCUGUAUUUUAAGUGUCACUCUAUCCUCUUGUGUGAAAGAAAUAAAUGACUGCAUGGUUUAAUGGAGAAGAAGUUACGCCAGCUCUUUUGAAAUGAAGAGACCUUCACCCACGUGUUACUCCUCGCUGGACUGUCGUCCUCCUGCCUCUUCACACAGAGCAAGUUUCCACGAGCGAGGCUCCCCGUCUGGCAGCAUCAGUGAUGCGCCUCAUCCAGAACCCAGUGGGCCCGCCAUGGGUUACUGGCAGCACUUUUAUCGAGGGGCAAAGAGAGGAAAUCCAGUUCCUGGAAACAGGGAGUGCAGUUUCAGAAAUCCUUCUCCCUCCCGAGUGGAGAAGUUGUUUGACCUACUGACUCAUUUCAUAGGAAUUGGGAAAACAACCUAGUGUGGUUUUCAUUGUUCAUCCUGGAGGCUUCCAAAAUCUGCGUCUGUGCAAAUAAGAUGAGCUGGAGAAAGGUAGUGUUGCCACUUGCUGUUUCUACCUGCCUGGUCUCCCGAUGGGAUUCAGUCUCUUGCUUCCAGCGCAAGUCCAGCCUGUGCCUGGGGCUCCGUUGUGUGCCUGUCCAGUGGUUCCAGUUUUUCUCUCAGAAGAUCCUGAGGCCUGCUUCUCUUCCUGGACUGUAUCUUUACCUGUGCUUCUCUCUCUUCCUCGUCUGUUCACCUGCUGACACCUGCUUAUUCCUACCUAGGAUUUGUCUCAGGUAUCACCUCCUCCAGGGAGCCUUCUGCGUUAUGUUAGAUAAUGUGAUGUAUGUGAUGUAAUUGAGAGAGGAGACUUUUUCUCUGUAUCACAGUGUCUGGCAUGUUACUGUCGCUUGCUACUCGUAGAAGGAAUAAAGAAGACAGGAUAAAACAGGCGAAGACCCAGAUCACUGAGUGUUCCUCUUGGGUGUGACGGAGCUGGGCCGAGAGUAAAGGCACGCAGCCGGACAGUGCAGGUGGAAAGGUGCUCCAUCACCUGUCACCUCUCAGGGCAGCCCCAGUCCCCUCUCCUCCUGCCCAGUCGGUCAUCUUUGAGCAUGCUUCAGCCACACCACUCUCACUCGAGGCGCUUCUGUGGAAGAGUUCCAGCUUCUUUACCCUGGCUGUCCGGACUCUGUCCACCUGGACCACACACCAUUUUUGACAUGUGCCCUAGCUAGCGUCCAUCGUCUAGGACUCAGGAAUUAUUUGUUGAUGGUCUUAACUACUAGGACUCAGGAAUUAUUUGCUGAUUUGCUUAACUACUUACUGACAGACAGUAUGGCAAAAGCGCAUCCUGAAGUGUCCAUUAAGACGUAUGCUAAACCAACUAUACUUUAGUUUUUUGAAAAGAGCAAGGAAGGAGAAAAGACGUGAGCUUCCGACCAUCUGUGGGUUUGAGGCGCAGUGCUGGCCGCAGUGCCCAUUAGAGAGCUCUGUGCCUGCACAGAGCUGACAGCCCAGCCGGGGAGGAGACGGGACAGUGCAGGCCACGCUAGGGAACCAGCAGCAGAAAUGACCGUGUCGCAAGGCAGUGUGUGGUUAAUGGCCAGACACACGGCUCAAGAAUGAAUCGUGUAGGUUCUCCACUCCAAAAGGACAGAAGCCAGCCUGGCCGCCUGUUGACCCACGUCACACAGCACAGGUACCCUGCCAGUCGCGCAGAACCCACCCCCCUGACUCCAAAGCUACAGAAAUACUGAAGAGAAUGUGCCGUUUGUCUCUGUAGCGCCCACAUUCCCUGAAAGACUCUCUCCUCCCCCCCUCCCUUCCUUGUCCAACUUUGUCCCUCCUUUGAGAGGCUCCUCUUCCUUUCAGAGCAGCCUAGAGACCCUGAGUACAGCCUGCUGACCCUGCAGGCAGCUUCUGCCAUGGAGUGGAGGGCGGUGCUCGUGCGCUUCUGUCCUGUGAGGGACGUGCACCGCCGCAGGGACCGUGUCUUUUCCCUCCAGCACCUGACGCUCUGCGACAUGGAGCACAUGUCCCUUAAGCGUUUGUCAUUGACCGAAAGGACUUAACACGUUAGAGGGGCUGAGUAACAUGGGUUGGCUUUAUAGGGUUAAGACAUGAAUGCUGUGAGUGCAGAAGAGGGUGACAAGCCAGAGUGGUCCAGGGAGACUCUGCAGAGCAAGCAGGGAAUAUUGGGCUGGGCCUGGGAGGCUUCGUACAUUUAAAAUGGGCGGAGAACCCCAGGUGGAGUAGCUCUGUGCCUGUGAUUGCUGCCAACCCAGCUGGUCUCUCGAAACAGGAAAACAGACCAGAGGGAGGGAGCCCUGCAGAGCCAGGCAGUGAGGGCAGCUUGUUUUAGUUGGAGCAGAGGGUUUGUCUAAAGGAAGGAGAGAGAAUGCCCUGGCAGAAGGAUGGACUUAGGAUGGAUUUAGGUGGUGGAAAGACCUCAAAUGCAGCGGGGUAUCUUGUCGGCAGCGGGCGCUGUGGAUUACUUUUGACAACCACAGUGACCUGAUGGAAGUGGUGUGGAAUGUGGGAGCUGCCCUGUGGCCCUGCCCUCAGUUUGCAUCACAGCCCAUGGUCCAGGUGGUCACCACGAUGCUUAGGACCCAGGUGUGAAGCCCCUCGACUGCACAGCGCUUCACCUUGCGGGGCUGGACCUGCCGUAAACAGCGGCUCUCCUUCCGGCAUUGCCCUUGACCUGGCUCUGAGCUGUUGAGGCUUUGGGUCCAUUCAGCUCUGUCCUGUCCCUCCACCCUCGUGACUGGCAAUGACCCGGAAGGGGGCAGCACCCCCGCAGCAGGUGGCCUCCAGAGCUGAGUCACUGCCCUGGGAAUGGUGCCCUGGUGAGGCUGGCUCAGGCAAAUGGGCGAGCUCUCCGCCCUGGCAGAGCCCAGAGCCCAGGAGAAAUAGAUUCCUUGUGCAUCUAGAGGCAUCACUGAGCUGAUAAGAAAGUGAAGUAAAGGCAGCUGGAGACCCAGAAGCAAACUGUCCCAAUGAUAGUUUCUAGCUGGGUCUUUGGCAGAGUCCAAAGCAUUUUUCUCACAAUUAAACGUACGGGCCGUGGUUGUUUUAUUUGAACACACCAAAAUUAUCCAUUUACGGAUACCCUUAAGAAUGGAAUGCAAAGGAGUUUAAGAUAAUGUCUUAAGAUUCUUUUUGACCUUGUAAAUUACAAGCGCUUAAGGAAUGAGCUUAAGGAUUAAAAUGAUCUGGAGAGUUAUUCUUGGAAAUUAAUAAAUGAAGUUUAGGUCUUUUUUUUUUUAACACGUUUUCUUUAUCAUUCCUAAAUACUCUGAUGGAUGUUGUUUUUUGAAAAUGAUCCUGCUUUUAAUUCAUCACAGAGAAGAUAGAAAUAUAG
rnacentral:lncRNA from 1 species